rnacentral:tRNA from 14 species
GGGCUAUAGCGCAGCUGGUAGCGCAUCUGCUUUGCAAGCAGAGGGUCGCCGGUUCGAACCCGGCUAGCUCC